UACGUAGGGUGCAAGCGUUGUCCGGAAUUAUUGGGCGUAAAGAGCUCGUAGGUGGCCUGUCGCGUCGGCUGUGAAAACUCGGGGCUCAACUCCGGGUCUGCAGUCGAUACGGGCAGACUUGAGUGUUGCAGGGGAGACUGGAAUUCCUGGUGUAGCGGUGAAAUGCGCAGAUAUCAGGAGGAACACCGGUGGCGAAGGCGGGUCUCUGGGCAACAACUGACGCUGAGGAGCGAAAGCGUGGGGAGCAAACAGG
rnacentral:rRNA from 1 species